GGACUACUCGGGUUUCUAAUCCUGUUUGAUCCCCACGCUUUCGUGCCUCAGUGUCAAUAUUUGUGUAGCCAGCUGCCUUCGCAAUUGGUGUUCUAUGUCAUAUCUAAGCAUUUCACCGCUACAUGACAUAUUCCGCUGACCUCCACAGUAUUCAAGACAAAUAGUAUCAAUGGCAGUUUCCGGGUUAAGCCCGGAGAUUUCACCACUGACUUACUUGCCCACCUACGCACCCUUUAAACCCAGUGAAUCCGGAUAACGCUUGCACCCUCCGUAUUACCGCGGCGGCUGGCAC
rnacentral:rRNA from 2 species